UACACAUGCAAGUCGAACGCUGAAGCUUGGUGCUUGCACUGGGUGGAUGAGUGGCGAACGGGUGAGUAAUACGUGAGUAACCUGCCCUUGACUCUGGGAUAAGCCUGGGAAACUGGGUCUAAUACUGGAUACGACAUGUCACCGCAUGGUGGUGUGUGGAAAGGGUUUUACUGGUUUUGGAUGGGCUCACGGCCUAUCAGCUUGUUGGUGGGGUAAUGGCUCACCAAGGCGACGACGGGUAGCCGGCCUGAGAGGGUGACCGGCCACACUGGGACUGAGACACGGCCCAGACUCCUACGGGAGGCAGCAGUGGGGAAUAUUGCACAAUGGGCGGAAGCCUGAUGCAGCGACGCCGCGUGAGGGAUGACGGCCUUCGGGUUGUAAACCUCUUUCAGCACGGAAGAAGCGAAAGUGACGGUACGUGCAGAAGAAGCGCCGGCUAACUACGUGCCAGCAGCCGCGGUAAUAAAA
rnacentral:rRNA from 1 species